rnacentral:lncRNA from 1 species
AAAAUUUUGACAGUCACAAUGUAUCAAUGCAUAUUGACUCUAUUAAUACAAUUUUCCUGUUUGCUUUGACCUUUAUUUUUCUUUACUCAAUUGAACAGAUAUUUUUGAGUGCUUACAUUGUGCUCGGAAGUGUAGGAGAUAAAAAAUGAAACAUAAAUCCUGCCCUCUGGGUUUAGGCGUAUACAAGUACAAUGUAAGUAUUAAAGUGCUGCCACAGAAGUAUAUAUAAAAGUCUCGAAGGAAUAAUGACUCUUUUUAUGUAUGUGACCUUUACUUUCGUAUUUGUUAAGGUUACGCUGCUGCUUUAACAGAGAGAUGCAGGAAUCGCAGUGUGUCAACAAAAUUCAUGUUUCUUUCUUAUUCAGAGUCCAAUCAACGUAAGGAUGGGGAGGCAUUUGGGAUUCUGCUCCAUACGUCAUUCAGGGUUCCAGGCUUCCUCAACAUGUGGAUUUCAAGUUUUCAAGGAGUCCAGAGAUUGCAGGAUCCAGAGAAAACCCCGGGGUGAUGAUCGCCGCCUCCGGUACCAAGCUGGACAAUGGCCUAGAGAAGACUCAGAGGCCACUACGAAAUCUCCUAUCUGCCAAAACUCCCAGCGCUUUCAACUUCUCCUAGACAAACAAUAAUUUGACUUUUGCUUCUCUUUUACCUUCAGAAUCCCAUGCAAGAGACUCUCAUUGAUGAGAUUCUUGGAAAUUUAGCUCCAAUCUUUUAACUCCAAUACAGACCAUGGAAGGGAGACAAUGACAAGUUACGAAUGACAAUCUAAACAGUAGUUUUUAUUGUUAAGUAUAUGUGCAUUCACUGUAUUUUUAUCAGCAUGCUUUAUAAAAUG